ensembl:antisense Rab26os RAB26, member RAS oncogene family, opposite strand
GCUCUUUUUGGGAGUGAGUGUGUGCGUGGUCCCUCUCGUCUAGGUUUUGUAAGGAACGUUUUGGGAGUAGUGCUCGCCGAAUGGAACUCAAAGGACCUCUGCUACAGAUCUGCCUUCCUCCCGAGCUGAAGUGCUUUAGUCCUAAGGGUUUAACCCUUCCCCAUUUUUCUUCUGACUCCAUUUUUGCAGGGCAUGUUGAGUCGGCUGCAUCUAGAGAUCCAACGAGUAGGAGUGUUGGCUGGUAAGCUGGGCAUCCGUGUAUCUGAGUUUCUUAGCAAUAAAGUGAAAUGCAAUCUUA